rnacentral:rRNA from 1 species
AUGUCGUUGGAGCCACCGCCUGCGGAGUCCUCCAUGUCCGUGGAGUCCACCAGGCCAUCGGCCUCACCGUCGAAGGAAUCGGAGCCCGCCAUCAUUAGGGUUGCAGCCGUCAUCGCCACCACGCAAGUUGCCGCCCACAAGAAUAAGGAUCUGUGGGUCGGCAACCUGCCUGCGUAUGCGGGCAAGGACGACGCCGUGGCAUCCUUUGCUCUGCACAAGGCACUCGACUGUGUCAUCAUGUGCGUCGGGUACCGCAGCUAUGCCUUCAUCAUUUUCCGCUCCAUUGCCGAGUGUCACACCACCCUCGAGGUGCUCCACGGGUCCAAGGUCAAGGGCGCCUUCAUCCUGAUUGAGUUCGCCCGACCGGUGUGCUACGAUGGUUGCGAUGACACGAUUCUAACGCCCGUGGGGUGCUCUAAUGGCUGCAGCGAUGGUGCGAUGACACGCUUCUAA